rnacentral:lncRNA from 1 species
GCCGCCGACCCAACAAAUACCGCCGGGCGCCUGAGGAGCUGCGUCUCCGCUGGAGGGCAGCGGAGACAGCCGAAAGGGGCCCAUACGGCGUUGUUCUGGAUUCCCGUCGUAACUUAAAGGGAAACUUUCACAAUGUCCGGAGCCCUUGAUGUCCUGCAAAUGAAGGAGGAGGAUGUCCUUAAGUUCCUUGCAGCAGGAACCCACUUAGGUGGCACCAAUCUUGACUUCCAGAUGGAACAGUACAUCUGUAAAAGGAA